AUUCAUGUCAAGCAUUGCAGGAUCCUUACCAUUUGGAAGAGACCACUCAAAGCAACGUAUUACAUAAGCUAAAAUCAUCGGAAGUUGUCUUGUAGCCAUUGGUUGUCAUGGGCAAGUCCUCCUUCCAGAACCAAAAGGUGUUAAGAGCUCGGCGUAGAAUCAGGAAUGGACCAGAAGGAUGUAAUCCGAAUGUUUCUUUUGUGCAUUCGUUUAGAUAUUGAAGUUGAAGAAGAUGGGAUUCUUCUAUAGACUUGCUGUCGAUUUCUCUAUCAAGCUCUUCCUCAGCUUUCACCAGGGUUGCUCUGUUCUUAAGCAGCUCAGCGAUUGCCCAUUCUACUGUUGUCGUAGUAGACAUCCCUGCAGCAAACAAUUCCUACAACAUAAAAAUUCAUAAUCGAAUUAGUUAUUUACCUUAGCUAGGUUAAAAAAAAAAGAGGUGAAGGGAUUGAUUGCAUACAAGAACCAACCAAUUGAUUUGGUCAUCGUCAAAUCCAUUAGAAAGAAAAAGGUCCAAGAAAUAUGUUUCCGGAGCAUCAUUGACACAAUUUUCUCUUUUUUCUUUGAUGUAAAUUUCCCAUACAUUAAACAUUUUCUCCAAGCCAAUUUUUAUCUUUCUUCUCAUCUCAUACCUUGAGGAUCCAACCUUGUCAAUACAGGAUAAAAGUCGGCAAUAUUUGGAGCAGUAGACAACUCUCCAUCAAUGUUGUGAUCAAGGUUUUCAAUCCACCUGCCCUCUCUUGAUCUUCAAAACUAAGCAUGUCCUUGGAGAAUAUAAGAUUGGAAAUUGUGUUGAAAACAGUAGUAAACAUAACUUCUCCAAUAUUGACUACUUGCCCUUGCUUGAUCGUCAAAAAAUCCAACAUCCCCGCCAGUUUCCUCUCUCUCAAAGUGGCUUGUGAUUCAAUUGCUUUAGCUGAGGAAAGCUCAGUCCUGCACAAAGCUCGUAAGAACUUCCACUGGUCAUUGCAUAGUGGGUUCCAAACAAUUGCUACGCGGUCGAGGACAUGAUUUCCAUAGGGAAAAGCUGCGGGCACAGAUCUAGCAGACAAUAAACGAUUAUGGAUUUUGAGAAUUUCAGCUGCUGCAAUUGGAGAAGAGGCAACAACAACGACUCGAGUGCCGAGCCUUAAAGAAAUAAGAGGGCCGUGAAGUUGGCAAAGUGUGCAAGGGAGACAUGAGGCUUUUUCCCCACUUGAAGAAUGUUGUCUAUGAUAGGCCAUUGCCUGGGACCUGGAGGAAGAAGCCUUCUUUCUGAAGAUGGAGAAAUGACGUGGUUAAGGAUGAUGAAGAUGAGAGGUAGAAGAAGAAAAAAAGGGAGAGAAAAGAUACUGAGCGCUCCUGAAAAAGCCGUGUUUUCCAUAUUUGUUAAUCCUGAAUUGAAGUCAAUAGAAGCCUUUGCCUGUAGCAUUUUUUUAACUUAACUUAUUUUGUCCUGAUAGGUGAUCCCCAAACUAUUUCUUGAUUUAUUUUUUCUCCUUCUAAAGCUGUCCUCAUAAGUCUUAUCUUUGGUACCUUAGGCCAUACAUAUUCAUUCAACUUGGUUUCAAAUAGUUUACUUAUUAUUGUUUAUUCUAUUUUCUUUGUAGAGAUCUUUUAUUUAUUUAUUUAUUUGCUGUCUUUGCUUAGAUAAAGUGUUUCUAAACAGCCAUAGAUUUAAUUAAUUGAAAUUUAGGAGCUAUUCUUUUACCAUAAACGAUCAUGAUUCACAAGCUAGCUAGACACAUAUGCAAAACACCUUGUCUUCUUGCUAUUACGGAAACCAGAAAUCGAAAUUUAGUUCCGCAUAUGACCAAAAGAAUUUAAAAGGUAACAUUAAUAAACUUCUAUUAUCAUUUUCUUUUCUCGUUUAGCAUUUUAUAUUUUCCAUAAUGUUCCAUUUGCUGCUUUCUCAUAAAAUUAAAUUCUCCAAGAAGAAAAAAAAAAAACAAAAAAGAAAGAAAAGAAAAAGGAAAA